GUGCACCAGGCGCGAAACCUCCGCAAUACACGAAAGUGUGACGGGCCACCCGAGUGCCGUCCGCUGAGGACGGCUUUCCCCAGUGUACAUAGCUGGGGAAUAAGGAGAGGGCAAGCCUGGUGUCAGCCGCCGCGGUAAUACCAGCUCUCCGAGUGGUGGGGACGCUUAUUGGGCCUAAAGCAUCCGUAGCCGGCUGGGCAAGUCCUCCGUUAAAUCCAACGAUUCAAUCGUUGGGCUGCGGGGGAUACUGUCCAGCUUGGGGGCGGGAGAGGCCGACGGUAUUCCCGGGGUAGGGGUGAAAUCCUAUAAUCCCGGGAGGACCACCAGUGGCGAAGGCUGUCGGCUAGAACGCGCCCGACGGUGAGGGAUGAAAGCUGGGGGAGCGAACCGGAUUA
rnacentral:rRNA from 1 species